GAUGAACGCUAGCUACAGGCUUAACACAUGCAAGUCGAGGGGCAGCACAGUGUAGCAAUACACGGGUGGCGACCGGCGCACGGGUGCGUAACACGUAUCCAAUCUGCCCGUUACUCGGGGAUAGCCUUCUGAAAGGAAGAUUAAUACCCGAUGGCAUAUAUUUCCGGCAUCGGAGAUACAUUAAAGAUUUAUCGGUAACGGAUGAGGAUGCGUACGAUUAGCUAGUUGGCGGGGUAACGGCCCACCAAGGCGACGAUCGUUAGGGGUUCUGAGAGGAAGGUCCCCCACACUGGAACUGAGACACGGUCCAGACUCCUACGGGAGGCAGCAGUGAGGAAUAUUGGUCAAUGGUCGAGAGACUGAGCCAGCCAAGUAGCGUGAAGGAUGACUGCCCUAUGGGUUGUAAACUUCUUUUGUUUGGGAAUAAAGUCAGGUACGUGUACCUAUUUGUAUGUACCAUUCGAAUAAGCAUCGGCUAGUUCCGUGCCAGCCGCCGCCGUAACAC
rnacentral:rRNA from 1 species